AGUUGGACCACUCAAUCUACAAUUCCAGUAAUAGUGUCCUCCUCCACUUCUUCUGACCAAACGUCAUCUAUAGCCACAUCAGGCACUUCCGUGACAGAAGCUUCAUCAACAAUUGCUAGUACAGCAACCACUUUGACAACAGAUGCGAUAUCAUCUACAAUAUCAGAAACUGAAAGCCAGAGUUGGACCACUCAAUCUACAAUUCCAGUAAUAGUGUCCUCCUCCACUUCUUCUGACCAAACGUCAUCUAUAGCCACAUCAGGCACUUCCGUGACAGAAGCUUCAUCAACAAUUGCUAGUACAGCAACCACUUUGACAACAGAUGCGAUAUCAUCUACAAUAUCAGAAACUGAAAGCCAGAGUUGGACCACUCAAUCUACAAUUCCAGUAAUAGUGUCCUCCUCCACUUCUUCUGACCAAACGUCAUCUAUAGCCACAUCAGGCACUUCCGUGACAGAAGCUUCAUCAACAAUUGCUAGUACAGCAACCACUUUGACAACAGAUGCGAUAUCAUCUACAAUAUCAGAAACUGAAAGCCAGAGUUGGACCACUCAAUCUACAAUUCCAGUAAUAGUGUCCUCCUCCACUUCUUCUGACCAAACGUCAUCUAUAGCCACAUCAGGCACUUCCGUGACAGAAGCUUCAUCAACAAUUGCUAGUACAGCAACCACUUUGACAACAGAUGCGAUAUCAUCUACAAUAUCAGAAACUGAAAGCCAGAGUUGGACCACUCAAUCUACAAUUCCAGUAAUAGUGUCCUCCUCCACUUCUUCUGACCAAACGUCAUCUAUAGCCACAUCAGGCACUUCCGUGACAGAAGCUUCAUCCACAAUGGCUAGUACAGCAACCACUCUGACAACAGUUGCGAUAUCAUCUACAAUGUCAGAAACUGAAAGCCAGAGUUCGACCACUCAAUCUACAAAUCUAGUAAAAGUGUCCUCCUCCACUUCUUCUGACCAAACGUCGUCUACAGCCACAUCAGGCACUUCCGUGACAGAAGCUUCAGCCACUAACAUACAAAGCACUACUUCUAACAGUUCUACUGUUGCCUCAACAGGCAUUACUAGUAUGGACACAGCAAAUACAUCUUCUUCAGAAAAUUACACUGCUCUAUCCUGUCCAGCAUUUGAUUGCACAAAAGAUUGUUAUGUCCAGUUUAUGAAUACGACGGCUAAACCUUGCCAAUCCAGUGAAUAUUUCUGUAAGAUAACGCAACAGGACACAGGUUACUCUGUCAGCUGCAGUGCCUCAUGUGGUGUAUCCUGCGGGAACGGGACUGUCAGUAAUUGCUCUGUGAACUGUUGCAACACAACCAACUGCCUCAGCAACACCCUGCUUGACAUGUCCAGUUCACUCAGUACAACAGUAGCUACAACAAACUCCACUACUACAACCACAACAAUCAAGGCCACAGUUACAACCACCCAAGCAAAUAAUGGCAAGAAGUGUAAUACUUUCAACUGUAAUGGGGUGGCGUGUUACAAAACCAAUAAUGUCGGCAGUAAUGUCAUGCUGUGUCCAGUUGGUCAGGACUACUGCAUGCUACAAAAGACAACAUCUGGCAGUGCAGAGAGCUGGCAGGCAGGUUGCAGUACAGAUUGCAGAAAGAUGACAGUUUGUUCAAGCACCACUACUAUCUGCCACUUGGAGUGCUGCAAUGCCACUACCACCUCAUGUCUCAAACUGUCAGGUGACAUGAACAUGCCCAGCUCCGCCACCAGAGGUCCUCACUGUCCCGCACUGCUCAUGGCCUCUUUGGUGCUCUUUUGGAUAGUCAAAGUCUUUACUUGAGUGUAACAAAGUCACACUUAAUACGCAAUCCAGGGAAGCUCUGUUUUCUGUUAGGAGAGUGUAUGUGUGCUUUAAAGCUGAGUGUAUUUCUUUCACUGUCACUUUUAUAUUAUUUGUGAUGCAAGCAAAUGAAAAUGUGUGUGUGUGUGUGUGUGUGUGUGUGUGUGUAUAGAUGCCAAAUAAGCUUUACCAUGGGCAUCCGUAGAGAGUUAUGUCAAGUGGAAACAUGCCUGUUGUUGGAUUCUUUAUUUCACAGAGACAGAUAGAAAUGAUCCACCAAGAAAUAUGUUAACACUGCAGAGACAAAUAUGAGGUUAGCUUCCUCUCAAGAGUUGUGAUUAAUUCUUCCUUUUUUUGACAUUAAUGUACACUGUAAGAAAAAAAUCAGUAGAAAAUGGAUGAUGUCUUGGCAGAAAAUUACAAGUAUCAUUUCCGUUAAGUUUAUGGACAUUUCCUUCAACCCUAAAACUCAAUUAAAAAUCCCGGAAAAACACUGUGAAAAAUUUAUAAAUAUUAACAUGGCUUUUCUUACAGUUUACAUAUGUUUGAAUUUUGAUUACAGUCGAUCAUAGUUAUCUGAGGCUUCUUUACUUACUCGUAUUUUGUUUGGUGUCCAUUGUACAAAGGUUUUGUGCUUUUUAAAAAAGCAAAUUUCUAUUCUAUAUUACUCAAAAUACUUCAAAGAAUAUUAUCAUAAUGCUCAGAUAAUCCAUUUUCUGAUACUAAUUAUAUGAUAUAACACAUUUGUUGUCCAAUCAGACAGAGUUCACCCUGUGUGCAUGCAAAAAUAAUAGUUAUGUACAAACCAGUUAAUGCCAAACGAAUGGAGUAUGCACUUUAUGCAUCUAAAUGGAAAUUAGACAAUUUAAAAUAUUUAUAAUGCAUUUAUAAUAUUGGACAUAUGAAAGCCUGUGGGUAAAACCCAUACUCAUAAACAAAAAGCUUUAUUUUUACAGAGAAAUAUGUUUAUUAAAAUGUAAGUGUACAGAUCUAAGAGUAUAGGCUAAUAACUUUUGAAUUAACAAAUUCUGUCAGAGUAAAACUACAGAUAAUCUAAUAAAGGUAAUGAUUAGGAGUUUGACA
ensembl:lncRNA